ACUCUUGUUUCUCUUCAGAUCAUAUAAAUCUUUCACCUUUUACUAAAGAUUUCUGUGCAGGCGAACAAGAGUUGUCCUAAUUUUUUAAAGCCCUUAUGAGAGGUAGGGUG
ensembl:snRNA U5 U5 spliceosomal RNA